rnacentral:lncRNA from 1 species
GACCGGCUGCAGAUGAAGUGGAGUGGGUCGGAGGGGAGCAGCCUCGGGUACCUGCUGCAGGUGAAGCCCAUGGCAGGUUUCCGUUAUGCCCCCUCCGAGGCGAGCGCUGCUGGCUCCGCCGGGCGGUGCCUACACGACACCAUCCACUCGCCUCUCUCACCCGUCACUGCGGAUGCACCUUCUAGGGAACACAUGAUCAGUGGUGUUUUUGUCCAACGUGAAUAUCUUUGCUUUUUAACAGAAACAUUUUUAUCCAUUUACAUUUAAAGAAAUUGCUGACAUAUUUGGGUUUAAAUCUAUCAUUUUCCUAUUUGUUUUCUUUUUGUUAUACUUGUUGUAAUAUUUUUCUCUCCUUGUCCUCUUUGAAACUCAAUUUUUAUGGAAAAAUUCAAAUAAGAGAGCACAGUGUAAUGAAGCUUCAUGUUCCCAUGAUGAAGCUUUGACAGUUAUCAACAUAUGACCAGUGUUGUGUGAUCUCUCUCUCCAAUCCCUUCUAUCUAUUGCAUUAUUUUAAAAACAAAUCCAGGACAUCAUAUAAUCAUAUAAUUCUGUCUAUAAAUAUUUUAGUAGUUUUCUCUAAAAGGAAGCACUCAGAAAUAACUCCAGUACCACUAGCAUGCCUAAAAAGUGAAAAUAUUUCAGAGCUACCAUUAGAUAUUUUGUUGUGUUCUCAUCUUCCAACUUGUCUGAUAAAUAUUUUUUACACUUAAUUUCUUUGAAUUAGGAUCCCAACAGGAUCCACACACUUUAUGUGGUUCCUAGGUCUCAAGUAAUCUUCAAUUUACUUUUUUUUUAAAGAUUUUAUUUAUUUGAGAGAGAGAGCGAGCACAAGCAGGGAGAGCAGCAGGCAGAGGGAUAAGCAGGCUCCCCACUGAGCAUGGAGCCCAAUGCAGGACUUGAUCCCAGGACCCUGAGGUUAUGACCCGAGCCGAAGGCAGAUGCUUCACCAACCGAGCCACCCAGGUGCCCCAGUAAUCUCAAAUUUAGAACAGCUUCGUCUUUCCCCUUUUCUUUAAUGUUUAUUGUUGAAGAAAGAAGAUUGUUGGUCUUGUGGAACAUCUGACAUUCUGUGUUUUGCUGAUGGUGUCACCAUGGUGCCACGUAGACCUUUCCUCUCCCCGUGUCUCCUGUAGAUUGGCACUUCCAUCCCAGAAGCUAGUCAGAUUCCGGUUUGGUUAUGGUUUGUUGGCAA